AUUGAACGCUGGCGGCAUGCCUAACACAUGCAAGUCGAGCGAGCGGCGGACGGGUGAGUAAUGUAUGGGGACUGCCCGAUAGAGGGGGAUAACUACUGGGAACGGUAGCUAAUACCGCAUACUAUCGGAUAACCCAUAUGGGAUGAGCUAGUAUGUGAGGUAAUGGCUCACCUAGGCGACGAUCCCUAGCUGGUCUGAGAGGAUGAUCAGCCACGCUGGGAGUGAGACAAGGCCCAGACUCCGACGGAGGCAGCAGUGGGGAAUAUUGCACAAUGGGCGCAAGCAUGAUGCAGCCAUGCCGCGUGUAUGAAGAAGGCCCUAGGGUUGUAAAGUACUUUCAGUCGGGAGGCGUUACCGACAGAAGAAGCACCGGCUAACGCCGUGCCAGCAGCCGCGGUAAUUC
rnacentral:rRNA from 1 species